rnacentral:rRNA from 1 species
CCUACGGGGGGCAGCAGUGGGGAAUAUUGGACAAUGGGGGGAACCCUGAUCCAGCCAUGCCGCGUGUGUGAAGAAGGCCCUCGGGUUGUAAAGCACUUUCAGUGAGGAAGAACGCCUGGUGGUUAAUACCCAUCAGGAAAGACAUCACUCACAGAAGAAGCACCGGCUAACUCCGUGCCAGCAGCCGCGGUAAUACGGAGGGUGCGAGCGUUAAUCGGAAUUACUGGGCGUAAAGCGCGCGUAGGUGGCUUGAUAAGCCGGUUGUGAAAGCCCCGGGCUCAACCUGGGAACGGCAUCCGGAACUGUCAAGCUAGAGUGCAGGAGAGGAAAGUAGAAUUCCCGGUGUAGCGGUGAAAUGCGUAGAGAUCGGGAGGAAUACCAGUGGCGAAGGCGGCCUUCUGGACUGACACUGACACUGAGGUGCGAAAGCGUGGGUAGCAAACAGGAUUAGAUACCCUGGUAGUC